ensembl:lncRNA
CCCGCCGGCAGGCCCAGCCCCCGGCCCCCGGGGCUUUCAGUCCCAGCGUGGGGUGCAGCGGGCCCCCCAGGGCCGACACGUACUAGGGCCCACGGGCAGGGCGCAGCAACUCCACGCCCUGCAGCCCCGCACCGGGACGCCCGGGCCCGGUGCCCAUCAGCCCCUCGCGCCUAAAGCCGCGCGCGGCCCCCCGCCCGGACCGGAUCAGGCUCUGCCACGGACGGAGUAUCAACUACCAGGGAGGAAAAAAAAAUCUGAAGUUGGAAGGAGGACACUCAGAGGAGAGACUGCUGCGUGCCUACCUAGCUGCACAGACUCGGAUAGAAGCGUGUCCACGUCUACAGCUCACAACUGUGCAAAUCCGGAGCCUGCGGAUGCGCGGGGAUGGUCGGACUUAACAGUGUGCAGACACAUGGGCGCAUGCACGCGCGCGCGCGUACACAAUCACACCCCAAAUUACCUCCGGGAUGGAGAAAGCCGCUGCGGAUUGGCCAGGAGAGCCGUCACUCACACCCAGGGGGCAGGAAGAUUUUGCAAGGCUGUUUCCUUUUUUUCCCCCCUCCCUACCGUUUCAUUUAUUGGUAAAACAACAGCAAAGCUCUGAAAGUUAGCCAUCUGCGGCGAGAGUUUGCCUUCUUUAACUACGGGGGCGUCAGACAAUACCCAUUUAAAUAUAUUUUAUACUUCCACAAUGGAUGAAAGGGA